AUUGAACGCUGGCGGCAGGCCUAACACAUGCAAGUCGAACGAAACUUCAGAUAUCUUGCUCUCGGGUGACUAACGCCUGACAAUGUACCUCUGUCUGCGAAACUGCCUGAUGAAACUGAAUCUCUUCCGGCAUCAUAUCUUCAGAUCACAUAUUUAUCGCCCACAGAUCAGGCCGACUCUGAUUACCCUUGUGCGUGAGAUUCUGCCUCAUCGAAUCAACUAUCAGGAGCUGGACUGACACGAUGAUCCGACAAUCUGUAACUGAUACGAGAUCAUGACUCGUACCGCAGGAACUGACUAGCAAUAUUGAAUCCUGCGGGAAACCCUGAUCCAGACUUGUCCCGUGAGUGAACAAGGCCUUAGGGUUGUUGAGCUCUUUCUUCUGAGAGCAUUAUGACUGUAACAUAAUAUCAACCCCCAGCUAAGUUCUUGCCAUCAUCCGCGGUAAUACUAAUGGGGCGAGCGUUGUUCGGAAUCACUGGGCGUAAAGCGCACGCAGGCGGUCGUGAAAGUUAGAUAUGAAAUCCCCGGGCUCAACCCGGGAAUUGCUUUUAAAACUCCACGACUAGAAUACUGGAGAGGUUGGCGGAAUUCCGAGUGUAGCGGUGAAAUUCGCAGAUAUUCGGAGGAACACCAAUGGCGUAGGCAGCCAACUGGACAGUUAUUGACGCUCAGGUACGAAAGCGUGGGGAUCAAACAGGAUUAGAUACCCUGGUAGUCCACGCCCUAAACGAUGUGUGCUAGUUGUCGGGGUCUUAGACUUCGGUGACGCAGCUAACGCUUUAAGCACACCGCCUGGGGAGUACGGUCGCACAGAGUUUAAACUCUCAGGAAUUGACGGGGACCCGCACAAGCGGUGGAGCAUGUUGUUUAAUUCUAAGCAACGCGAAGAACCUUACCUACACUUGACAUGCCUCUUGGGACUUCCAGAGAUGGAGGUUUUCCGUUCGGCCGGCGAGUGCACAGGUGCUGCAUGGCUGUCGUCAUCUCGUGUCGUGAGAUGUUGGGUUAAGUCCCGCAACGAGCGCAACCCUUAUCGUAUGUUGCCAGCAUUUAGUUGGGCACUCAUGCAAGACUGCCGGUGAUAAGCCGGAGGAAGGCGGGGACAACGUCAAGUCAUCAUGGCCCUUACAUGUAGGGCUACAAACGUGCUACAAUGGCGGUGACAAUGGGCAGCGAGGUCGUGAGGCCAAGCUAAUCCCAAAAAGCCGUCUCAGUUCAGAUUGUACUCUGCAACUCGAGUACAUGAAGUUGGAAUCGCUAGUAAUCGCAGAUCAGCAUGUUGCGGUGAAUACGUUCCCGGGUCU
rnacentral:rRNA from 1 species